ensembl:lncRNA
AUUACUGACUCGCACAGCAUCUCUGAACCCUCUGAUUUUGGACAACAGAUAAAAUGGGUUUCACUGUACCACAGAGGAUCCUCCUGAUGUACCUGCUUCAUUUUUGCACUUGUGCAGUCGGUCAGACUGUGAACCAAACCACUCUUAUGAAUAUUGUAAACAACUUUGAGAAUCAGUUGUCUGGCAUGGGACAAUAUGCUGCCGCCUUUAGAGUCGAGAAACACAAAUGUAAAGAUUCUAACUACGAUGGUCAGGACUUAAUAACUCAAGAAGUGAAAGACACACUUCAGCGCAAUGAGGUUUAUAACAGCGAUAACCUUAUUGCUGCAAAGGCUGAUAAAAAUAUAAACCGACAUUCAGAGUAUCGCCUGAAGAAUUAUCUAAAGAAAGUUUGGAAUAAAACAAAUGAAUGUGUGGUUUAUUUCACUGUAAAUUCACCCUGUUUGGAUAAAUGCAUAUCAGAUAAAUGGAAAUUCAGCAUUAAAGACAAUCUUAAAGACUUAGAAAUAUAUGUGGGAAUUAAAGCCUUUGCAUUAAAAAAAAAUUGGGAAUUUGAUGAAAGGGAGGAGGUGAUAAAGAGACUGAAGGAAAUUGCAUCUGAUUUGCCAUAUUAUCAGUGUGAGACAAACAAAACUGAAUGUGAUCGCCUGUAAGAAGAGCAAUGCUUGACAGCUGCUUUCCUCACAUAUAGAAAGUUUCAUUUAGCUGAGGAUUUUGAUUUCUCUUUUAAUUGCACUAAACAUUAAAAUUGGCAAACAAAAUCAAUUAUCUGUAAUAACUGAUACUGCAUGCUUGAUUAGAUGACAGUUAUUGUUAAAGUAAAUGAUAGCAUGUCUGCUUACUGCUGAAGCAAAUAAAGAUACAUUUUAUUGAGUAUCA